GAAAUAGAAGGAUAUAUUCAAUUACUUUUAAUUUAUUUUGGGCCUAAAUAAAACUAUUUGCUAUUUAAUGUUAUGUUGGGCCUUAACUAUUUAUUUACUCUUGUUGGGCUGAAAUUUAAUAAAAGCCCAUAACAUCUUACAAGAUCAGAGCAAUACGUGUUUUUCUUUCUCAUCCAAGAUCUGUAUCAAUUUUAACCACAAUUUCUAAAUCUUCUUAGCUAAAGCUUAUUUCCUCAGCCACAUGUUUUACUUGGGAAACAAGUUCUAUCAUUUCUGCACAAAUAAUUCAUUCUAUUUAAAGUUUAUCUACAAAUUUCCACCGCCUCAUUUUUAUCAUGUUUACUUCUUUCCAUUUUAUUGAAAAGAUUUCAAAACCGUAAAUCCAGCAAUUCUCAUUCUGCUCUUCAUUCUGCUCUUCUCAUUCAACUGGUGCGGCGCGACUAGGACGUUACUUUUAUUUGAUUUACUCAAGUUAGCAUACAAGUUCAAGUUCAAAGUUUCAGUUAUAUCGCUAGGGGCCCGCUCAAUGGGUCCAGGACUUCACCGUCCUUGGUAUGCCACAAUGCGAUUUCAUGUUACAGUUAGGGUUGCAACCUAUUCGCCAGGGGCCUGCUCAAUGGGUCCAGGACUUUAAAGUCCUUGGUAUGCCACCGUGCGAAUUUCAGUUAUCAGUACAGUGCAGUGCGUAUUUUGACGUUGGAGACGCGUGGAAGGUCGAAUGGGCGCAUCGAGAUUCAAGACAUUUAUCAAGUAGUUGAUUUGAUUUUCAACUAAUUUAAGUAUUUAAAGUUUUGCUUAGCACAAGUUUUACCUAAUACCUGGAUAUUUUGAUGACAUCUUUAUGUCAUGCUUUGAAAUAAGAGGUUGAUUGUCGAUUUUUAAAUCAAA